GGACGAGCGCCUGGUGCUCAAAUGCCACAGCAAGGGAGCCCUGGGAGCCUCCUCGGACACCAAGCAGAGCUUCAGCCCCGUGCUCAAACUCAGCUCCCUGCUCGUGCGCUCCGUGGCCACAGACAAACGGGCCCUGUUCAUCAUCUGCACCUCGGAGCUGGGACCCCAAAUCUACGAGCUGGUGGCACUGACGUCCUCGGAGAAGAACACGUGGAUGGAGCUGCUGGAGCAGGCGGUGCAGGGGGCCACCAGGAGCCUCCCCGGGCCACCAAAACGGCACCAGGGCGAGGCCAGCGCGAGCACAGGAGCAGGGUGGGGAUAAUGGGGGAAUGGGAAUAAUGGGGGGGAUAGUGGGAAUGGUGGGAGUGGUGGGGAAAUGGGAAUAAUGGGAAUAAUGAGAAUGGGAAUAAUGGGAGUAAUGGGAAUGGGAAUGGUGGGGAAAUGGGAAUGAUGGGAAUGGGAGUAGUGGGAAUGAUAGGAAUGGGAAUAAUGAGAAUGCAAAUGAUGGGAAUGAGAAUAUGGGAAUGGGAAUAAAUGGGAAUAAAUGGGAAUAAUGAGAAUGGGAAUGAUGGGAGUAAUGGGAAUGAUGGGGAAAUGGGAAUAAUGGGAAUGGGAGUAGUGGGAAUGAUAGGAAUGGGAAUAAUGAGAAUGCAAAUGAUGGGAAUGGGAAUAUGGGAAUGGGAAUAAAUGGGAAUAAAUGGGAGUGGGAAUAAUGGGAAUGAUGGGAAUAUUGGGAAUGGGGAAAAUGGGAAUAAUGGGAAUGGGAAUAGUGGGAAUAAUGGGGAAAUGGGAAUAAUGGGAAUGAUGCGAAUGGGAACAAUGGGAAUGGAAGUGGGCAUAGUGGGAAUAAAUGGGAAUGGGGAUGGGAAUAAUGAAAAAAAUUGGAAUGGAAAUAAUGGGAAUAAAUGGGAAUGGGAAUGGGAAAAAUAGGAAGAAUGGGAUUGGGGGUGGGAAUGGGAAUGGGAAUGGGAAUAAAUGGGAAUGGGAAUGGGAAUAAUGGGAAUGGAACGGGAAUAAUGGAAGAGGAAUUGCUGUGCCAGGCUGGUGCUGCCCGAGCCCGCCGUGGCCCCGGGAUCCGAGCCCGAGGCUGAGCCCGAGGAUUGCUCCUCAGGUACGGCUGCUGUGUCGUCCUGUCACCCACUGUCACUGUCACUUCCUGUCACCCAUUGUCACCCAGUGUCACCUCCUGUCUCUGUCCCCAUCCCUGUCCUUGUCCCUGUCCUUCCCCUCUUGUCCCAUCGCUGUCCCUGUCCCAUCCCUAUUCCUGCUGUCCCCAAUGUCCCCUGUGUGUCCCCAUGUCCCCAGUGUCCCCUGUCCCUCCCCACAGCUGGCAGUGACCGCGCCCCUCCCCCGCCGGAGCCCCCCCCCCCCCCCCCCCCCCCCCCCCCCCCCCCCCCCCCCCCCCCCCCCCCCCCCCCCCCCCCCCCC
rnacentral:lncRNA from 12 species